AUCCUAUAGUAAGGACAUCUCCUGAGUAACUCCUUAAAUAUUUCUCAUGCAUCAUAGAAACUCACAUCUUCAAGUUGAUGGAAAGACGUGAUCUCAUUCCUCAAUUU
rnacentral:snoRNA from 1 species